rnacentral:SRP_RNA from 1 species
GCCGGGUGUGAUGGGUCACGCCCGUAAUCCCAACACUCUGGGAGGCCGAGGCGGGUGGAUCACCUGAGGUCAGGAGUUCAAGACCAGCCUGGCCAACAUGGUGAAACCCCGCCUCUA